rnacentral:rRNA from 1 species
GGACGGGUGAGUAAUGCCUAGGAAUCUGCCUGGUAGUGGGGGAUAACGUUCGGAAACGGACGCUAAUACCGCAUACGUCCUACGGGAGAAAGCAGGGGACCUUCGGGCCUUGCGCUAUCAGAUGAGCCUAGGUCGGAUUAGCUAGUUGGUGGGGUAAUGGCUCACCAAGGCGACGAUCCGUAACUGGUCUGAGAGGAUGAUCAGUCACACUGGAACUGAGACACGGUCCAGACUCCUACGGGAGGCAGCAGUGGGGAAUAUUGGACAAUGGGCGAAAGCCUGAUCCAGCCAUGCCGCGUGUGUGAAGAAGGUCUUCGGAUUGUAAAGCACUUUAAGUUGGGAGGAAGGGCCGUUACCUAAUACGUGAUGGUUUUGACGUUACCGACAGAAUAAGCACCGGCUAACUCUGUGCCAGCAGCCGCGGUAAUACAGAGGGUGCAAGCGUUAAUCGGAAUUACUGGGCGUAAAGCGCGCGUAGGUGGUUUGUUAAGUUGGAUGUGAAAUCCCCGGGCUCAACCUGGGAACUGCAUUCAAAACUGACUGACUAGAGUAUGGUAGAGGGUGGUGGAAUUUCCUGUGUA